UUCUUUUGUUUUUUUUUUUAAUUAUAAAACAAUUAAUACAAAUAAAGAAAAUGUAAAAAAGAAAUAAUAAGGGCAAAAUAGUCUUUUCAAAUUUUCAAGGACCAAAACCAAAGAAAAUUCUUGAUUUUGGACCUUCCAUGCAAGUCGAAAACUUUUUGGACCCCAUCCAAAGUUUUUUGCAAACCACAAGGACUAAUUUUAUAGUUUUGUCAUCCGUAAAAAUAUAUGCUAUUUAGAGAUGUGAAUAGUGUUCUUUGUGAAAGGUUGUGGUUAUCUCUUAUUAUUGGACGGAGUCAUGUAUUUCCUGCAUCUUUAGUACCAAUAUGGAAUAAAUCUUCUUUAUUGUUACAAACAUUGAUUAUAACUAAAUUUGAUGGUCAUACGGAUGUUGUUUAAGACUAUUUUCUUUGUACAUAAUCUUAAUUCAUCUAAUGUUUCUAUGCACAUAUUAGUCUUUGUCCUGCCUCCAGUAAUCCAUGAUCUCAUUAUGUGACUAGACGUUCUUCAUGGGAUCAUUCUCUCAAAAAUCAUAAGGUAAAAGCUUAAUAAUUUAUGAAAAUAACAGUUCUAUUAAAUUGUUUGCCUACACAUUAUCUGGACAUAAAAACAUCAAAAUAGCCAACAUCUAAAACACUGAUAUUAAACAAAUGCAUAAUACGUAACACUUUGUAUCUUAUUUUAAGGAAAAAUAUUAAAAAGAAAAUCAAAAAAACCCAUUUUCUUCAUUUGUUUCUGUGGAUAUCAGUAAAUCCACAGUGGUCAGAUUGUUCCUUUCCUUAUACCUGAUUCCAUCUUUUCCCUGAUUGCACUUGAGCCGAUGAGGACGGAAUGGUAGUUUAAUGUGUUAUUAUUCAACUUGAGAUGAUAAGGACAAUAUGGUAAUUUACUACUUCUAUGUUUACGUUUCUAGACCUUGGCUGCUGGUUUGCAACCUGAUAUUCCUGUGAUGAUUGAUAUUCUUUCAAAGUUGAGCAAGAAAACGAGCGUAAAAGUGGAUUAUUUGACCAAAAUAGCGUUUUGAAAGUUAGAAAAUUGAUUUUUUUUUUUAAUGUGAUAUAGCUGUUUUGCUGCAUGGCUUUUAGAUAUGCAAAAAUCUAAUUGUUAGGCAUGAUUGUAGAAUUUCUGCACAAAAACUACAUGUAUUAACUUUUGUGAAUAAUAUCUAUUUCAUGUUAACAGCACAUCUUAUUUAGCAUGAAACCAUACAUUAACCUAAUUUUUCUUUUCCAUGAUGCAACUUAUCGGGGAAUUGCUGGUGUAAGCAUUGAUGUUGUGCGAUACGGGUAAUGUAUUAUAACGUUGAUUGCAUUCUGUUGGAGUUGGAGGGAUUUUAUUUGGUUAUCAUACUGGUAAAUAUGUCCAUGUUUUCCUUCAUUUUAUUUUUAUUUUAUAUUUUUCUUAUUUGCAUUGAUAAUUUUACUACCAAACAGGGGACAAGAAUUAGAGAAGCAUACGCAGUUGCAGCUUGACACUUAUGAUUUUAUAUAAGAGGAAAUGCAGCGAAAAGUGGACCAGUGGGUCGAAGAAUUGCACAAGGAAUGAAAGUGAUUGCAGAAGGUGGAUGUGAUUUUUAAGGGUAGCUCACCUACUUGGGUGCUACACCUGAUGUUAUUUAUUCUGCUUCCGCACUUUUAGGAUAUCUCAGGAUCAUUGGAGACCACCAAUUUUGUUCUUCUGAUAAACAUUGUGCUCUGAUUAAAGCUUUGAGGAACACUUUGUGAAAACCACACAAGCAAUUUAAGAAGAAAAGAUUCAUAAAUAAACUUAAUUUGACCUUGACCUUUGGAUGGACAAAACGUAUAUGCAUUAGAAGACAUGAAUUUGCUUUUUGGUGUUGAUCUAGAUGGGGUUCACAAAAAGAAGCUCAAGGUGCUGAGAAGGAAACCAAAAACAAGCUCAAGAAGGUGUAAGGAAUACAUUGUUUGUUGGUGGAACUAUAAUGGGAUCUAUUGGGCUUUCACCUGCACUGCCUUUGCCUAGGACAUUAGAAAGGGCUUGCUGCUGGUUCGGAACUCCCCUAUCUAUUUGAAUUGAUUUACAACGCCUAUUUUCAAGCGGAAUUGCUUCUCUUAACUUGAAAGAGGGUCUCUCCUGUCCGGCUCGAUAUGAACAAGGUAGGCUAAGGAUUUUGUUGUUCGGAAAUGGUGAUACCUCUUAAAUGGAAUUAUUUUUAUUCCCUUUGCCUUCUUGCUGCAAUAUCUACAGAUAGUAACAAACAUAACAGUUUUGUACCAAUUAUUAAAAAAUGUAUAAUAUAAGUCCUUUUUUUAUUGUGUGUAUACUCA